rnacentral:tRNA from 1 species
GGGGCUGUAGAUCAGCGGAAGAACCUCUGCUUUGCGUGCAGGAGGUCCCAGGUUCAAUCCUGGCAUCUCAA